rnacentral:rRNA from 1 species
UACAUGGGGUGCAAACGUUGCUCGGAAUUAUUGGGCGUAAAGCGCGCGUAGGCGGUUACUCAAGUCGGAUGUGAAAGCCCUCGGCUUAACUGAGGAAGUGCACCCGAAACUGAGUAGCUAGAGUACCAAAGAGGGUCGCGGAAUUCCCGGUGUAGAGGUGAAAUUCGUAGAUAUCGGGAGGAACACCGGUGGCGAAGGCGGCGACCUGGGUGGAUACUGACGCUGAGGCGCAAAAGCGUGGGGAGCAAACAGG